rnacentral:misc_RNA from 1 species
AAGUCGUAACAAGGUUUCCGUAGGUGAACCUGCGGAAGGAUCAUUAUAUUCAGUAGCCUAGCUACUUGUUUAUACCCUUGUUUUUUGCGUACCUAUUGUUUCCUCGGCGGGCUUGCUCGCCGGUUGGACAAAACUUAUAACCUUUUUGAAAUCUUCAAUCAGCGUCUGAAUUAUACAUAAUAAUUACAACUUUCAACAACGGAUCUCUUGGUUCUG